rnacentral:rRNA from 1 species
UACGAACUGUGCGACCGUUAUUCGGAAUCACUGGGCUUACAGGGUGCGUAGGCGGCUAUUCAGGUCAGGUGUGAAAGCCCCCGGCUCAACCAGGGAACUGCGCUUGAAACCGAGUGGCUCGAGUCAGCUAGAGGUACACGGAACUUCCAGUGGAGCGGUGAAAUGUGUUGAUAUUGGAAGGAACACCGGAGGCGAAAGCGGUGUACUGGGGCUGGUCUGACGCUGAGGCACGAAAGCCAGGGGAGCGAACGGG